rnacentral:rRNA from 1 species
GUCCACGCCGUAAACGAUGUGCACUAGGCGUUGGGGUGUUGAAACCUCAGUGCCGGAGCUAACGUGGUAAGUGCACCGCCUGGGGAGUAUGCCGGCAACGGUGAAACUCAAAGGAAUUGACGGGGGCCCGCACAAGCGGUGGAGCAUGUGGUUUAAUUCGAUGAUACGCGAGGAACCUUACCAGGGUUUGACAUGCACCGGGAGUCGUGAGAGAUCACGGUGCCCUUCGGGGCCGGUGCACAG